rnacentral:tRNA from 1 species
CGUUCCAUGGCCAAACUGGUCAAGACAUCGCCGCUCGGCCGGCGAAGAUGCGGGUUUGAAUCCCGUUAGAACCA